AAAGAAACGAUUGCCGUCAGUAAACGUAGCUGGUAGGACACCCACGUCUGUCAGAAAAUAAGAACGAAAAUUUAGAUUUCUAUUGGUAACAUUCGAGAUACUUUCAUGUAACUUUAUCCCUUUGGAAGAUCGUUUUGAUAAUCGUUGUAAGUAAUUUCAUGAAGAGUAUAUUUUCAGACACUGAUACUCGUAUUCUCAAUACAGAGUGUUUGAAAAUCACAGAUUAGGAAAGUGCAGAAGAAUAGAAGAUACAUUUUUGGUCUAAUCGAUUUACAUUCGUUUCUGUUUCACUUUUUAUGUAACAACGUUUAAUAAUUAUUAUUAAAUAUUUGUUACAAUUUCUUACUUGAAAAUUCCUGAAAUCUAAAACCGAAGGACUCAGGCUUUGUUCCUUAAAAGUAAAAGAGAACCGACGAUACGUUUAUUAGACUAAAAUGUAUACUUUCCUAACUAGUAAUAUUAAAACGCUAUGUCUAUAGCGCUGACAUUGUCUCAGUAUAUUUCUGGAAAAUAAGAAUACUUGCAACUCGUCAAAAUUUCAACACAAUAUUUCAAAAGCGGUAAUUUAAAAUGGUGAAACUUUUGAUAACGAUAAAUAAAAUAUCUAUCGUGUUGCACCAGGAUUUAUCGAAAAUGUACAAGUCACGUUAAGGAAACAACGUGAGGAGAACACAGGGAUCAAUUUUGCUUCUGUGUGAGAUGGCAGUCGCAGCAUGACGUAUUUCACGUAGCCUUUCGCUUAUCUGACAGAACAAGACAGGAGAUCAAUAUGUUUAUAUAUUCAUUUAUUUUUUUUUCCAAAGAAAUUUGAAUGCAAAGUAGUGUACGGUGGUAAUCUGCCAAAUUUCCAUAUCGUGAAGAUAUUAAAAAUGGAGAUAAUGAUGGAAUGAAGGAGGAGAGGAGAGAUGGACAGGGGGAUGAUGCUGCCUUGCUAGGAAAAAAGGGAUGAUGACACUUGAGCAAGCGAAGGUUUAUUAUUUACAUAUUUUUUUCUGUUUAUGUUUUGUCUUUCUUAUGCGAAUGAAGUGGAUGGAAAUGUAGACAAGAUACCUCUAUUCAUAUGUAUACACGACAUGCAUACAUGAAAAAGAGUCGCUUGUUGUGUCUUUAUCAUUAGUUUCCAUUUUAGUUUCCUUUUUAUCUUUUUAAUACUUCUACAAAUUCUACUAUGACUUUCCUGCUAAAGAAAUUUGCCCUCUCAGUUGCAGUGAAGCUUUUAACCAUUUUAAUACUGGUACAAACGUUGACUACGUCAAACUAAUGAAAGUUGUCCUACUCUCCUUGAACAUAACUUUUUUUCUAAGGUUAGUUGAAAUUUUGACUGAUUGGUUAAAAUCUACGUUUAUUGAAUAGCACUCUGCGUGAUUCUUUUGUUUCAUUCGUAGCAAAUCUUUACGGAUUUAUUUAAUUUAAUUGAAGCAGAUACUUGUCAACCCUUUCAUCUCCAAAUUACGUAACAGCCUAAGAACGUAUCUCUGCAAUAUUUCUAUCCAGAGAAACAAGCGAUUUGCACAAAUAUUUGGCAUAAAGUUUAUUUGGAAUUCUAUCAUUACAGUCUGACGAGAAUAACACUCUAUUUCAUACGAUUACUUUGUGAGAAUGAAAUUACGAUCCUACUAUGAUAUACGAAUUUUUAUCUCUCGUCUCAGCAAAAUAAAAGAAUAGAAAUUUUAAACGCUUCGAAACCGAAACGAGAAGCACAACGACGAUUCUUUCAUAUUUUCCUCGAAAUGAAAUAGUCGUUCGACGAUAGAAAACUACAAUUGGACAAAAAUUGACGUAAUAGGGUUAACAGGUAUCGGUAUCCAGGUUGUGGGAAAUUUUUCGAUUACUCUUCACAGUCUCUCUAUUAGCCGCAAUUUUCUUCCUCGCUGGAAUUUCCAACGUUCUAAAUUCCUACCAGCGAAUCACGUUGCGAGCUAAGUUCGAUUAGUCCUAAUUAUGCGCCCGGAACAUAUUCCAUCUCGCGUAACUGUCUGCUCUGUACAAAACACCGUGUAGAAUUUCAGACAAUGGCAUUGAACGCCUCGGAAAAUUGGACCGCGAAUUCCUAUUGUUCGAUAGGUCAGAGAAAGUAUAGUAUAUCGUCGAUAAUUACAGUCGACUUCGUACCGCCUCGAGGUUCAUGUUGUGUCACGAGGGUUUCUUUUUUUUUUCUUCUUUCUCUACCAUUUCCAGAUGUACUACUCGUUGCCCUUUCUUUUCUCUUUACCAUCAGACAGCAUAUUUAAAGAGCAGCGGUUUUCCCUUUUUUCCUGUUUCUCUUUCUUUUUUCUCUUUUCUUUUUUUUUUUUUUUUUUUCUUUUUGCGGCCACACCAAUUUACAGCCACAGACGAGUUUCUAAUUAGAAACAGGGAAAGAUUUCGUUGCAGCUGGUAGCUAUGACUGAGAAACACAACCGUCUGCUUGUUAAUCAUUGUUACAUGAUUGCUUCUUGUACCGUACUCGAGCAAAGGAAAACAGAACGAAAUGGGAACAGUUUAUCGGGUUUACUCAAAUGGCAAGCGAAGGUAAGAUAGCAAUUCUAUCUAUAUUCUUACGAUGGAUCGAGUAACUUACGAUGAAACAAUUAAUCCAGAAGAAUAACCGAAAUGUUUUAACAGCGGAGUUCGUUCCGUAUAUAUGCUGAUACGGUUGUAUAAUUAAACACGAGGGAUAGAUAAAACAGUUAAUGCGUCUAAAUAAAUAAAAGGUUCCAAGUAAAUUGGGACAGAUAAUUACACGUUUAUAAUUUAUCGUAGUUACAUGUACUGGCAGGGUGUUUCAUGCAGCGUGAAUAAAAUUUCGAUAAUUCUAAUAAAUGUUUACCAUUGCGAAACAAUAUAUAAUAAAAUACCUUCAAACGUAUGGAAUUUUUAAGGAAAAUUCAUAAUUUCUUUCGAUUAUAAAUCAUCGAGAAUGCACAGUGAACAAGCGUACUUUUACUACACCCAAUGUAAGAGCGAUGGACUUUUAUUUUGACAAUCAGCCUUCGUUAUCUUAAUAAUAUAAUAGUUUUACGAUAUUGCCGCUGAUAUUGCAAGAACUUUGAUAAUAUUUCUCUAAGUAAAUACCAUUGAAAGUUCUUUGGAAAUCUCAUGAAACAGCCUGUAUACAUGAAGAUCUAUUCUUAAUGUGAGAGUCCGAUUACCAAUCUGUUUCGGUAUCUGUGUCACAGCACUUUGCCCGUAGCUUCCGAACGUUCUAGACAUUUAAUCCCCUAAUCCGUAGUAGAGACCUACACACCGUGUACUUUUUCUACUUGUUACACGAGCACAUCCGAAUUCUCGAUAAAAAUGAAACAAGCCUACUUUGGUACAACGUUCCCGUAUAUGUGUGUAUCUAGCCACAAUGUAUGGCACAUACGAAAUGACUACAAUCCCAGCGAUUAGGACAACUUACAAGAAGUCUACACGAGGAGAUGGUUCGAAAAAACGAUUGAGGAUUUUCGUCUAAUUUUCCCCCUACUCUGUCCCCUUUACCUCGACAACCCUUACGAAAGAAAGUAACACGGCCACUCGUAGGAAAUUUGGAAAAAAAAGAGAAACGAAAAGAACACUCAAGGAAACGAACAAAUUUUUGGUAAACGAAAGUAAAUCACAAAAAAAAAAAAACGAAACAAAUAAAAA